GCCCUGGUGGUGCAAUGGUUAAGUGUUUGAUUGCCAACCAAAAGGUUGGCGGUUCAAAUCCACCCAGAGGCU
rnacentral:tRNA from 1 species